rnacentral:misc_RNA from 1 species
UUAGAGCUCGUGAAAUAAUAAGCUCUACGGACUUUUUUAUGUGGACUUCUCUCGACAAAAAUUCUGGAGGACACAGCGCGCCCCGGGACUACGACGACUUCCUUCUACGAAAGACACAGAGACGGGUAUGUGUGUUUCACAGAGACUUUCUAACGAUCCAAGUCAUCAUCACCAACAUCUUCACAGAGUAGAAUUCCACCAGAUCCUUAACUGGAAAGCUUUCCAAAAAAGAGGAAAGCAUUAAGACAGGAGACUGAAGAAGUCCACAGCAUGAAUUAUGAGGGUCACGCUGGUGUCUCAGCCCGGCGUUGUGCCGACGUGAGGCACGCUGAGGGUUCCUCAAAGACGAAGAGCCCGCGGGGUCGUCUAUCCCACGUUGUGUUUUGUGCUGCAUCUAAUCGAACGAAAGUCCCACCGAUCUGUCGUAGGGAAGCCGAUUGGCGAAACUUUCAUUCUAAAAGACGGAACAGUUCGGUCGCUGAUUUCCUGAGAUGCGGGGUCAUGCUGUACGUCCCGUGUCCGAGAAGCUAUGGGCCGCAUCUUACUUUAAACAAGAGGGUGCUCUCCAAAAGUUGUCAAAUUCCUUAACCGUAACGGGCCUACCGAUUAUGCCCAUACCAAUAGCUUAAGGUGUACUUUCAAUGUUAUUCCAAACCUUCAUCCUUAAUCCCAGCUGAAUAAUACACGAGUCGAUCUGAGUCAUGAUGUAAACGUAACAGGCAGUAGUGUAAGAUAUAUGUAGAACAUGCAUUUAAGAGCUUAUUGCACAACGCAAUAUUCCUUUGCAGUCGCGGCGAUUAGGUGAAACAAGGUGCAUUACAUCCUUCUCAGUAGCUCCUUAAGCAAAAAGGCCACUGGUUGCCUUUAUCGACUAAAGGACAAUUUCCAGGCGCCCAUUGCAUAGAGCUCCAGCAUGCCGUCACGCAGCAGUUUUAGGAUUGGGGGGGGGAAGAAAAAAAAAG